rnacentral:misc_RNA from 1 species
AAGUCGUAACAAGGUUUCCGUAGGUGAACCUGCGGAAGGAUCAUUAUUGAAAUAAACCUGAUGGGCUGUUGCUGGUUCUCUAGGGAGCAUAGUGCACGCUUUGUCAUCUUUAUAUCUCCACCUGUGCACUCUUUGUAGACCUUUUCAGGUCUAUGUUGAUUCUUCAUUUACUCCAAUGUAUGUUAAUAAGAAUGUCGUGCAUAUAAAAUCUAUACAACUUUCAGCAACGGAUCUCUUGGCUCUC